rfam:Triticum aestivum genome assembly, contig: Triticum_aestivum_CS42_TGACv1_scaffold_230828_3B
UAUCUACUCCCUCCGUUCGGAAUUACUUGUCACAAAAAUGGAUGUAUCUACAACUAAAAUACAUCUAGAUACAUUCAUUUCUUGGACGAGUAACUCCGAACGGAGGGAGUGUAAU